rnacentral:tRNA from 1 species
GGUCCCAUCGUCUAGGGGCCUAAGACACAGCCCUUUCAAGGCUGUGGCGUGGGUUCGAAUCCCGCUGGGACCGCCA